rnacentral:lncRNA from 1 species
GUUGAGUGAGCACUGCAGCAGAGCCUCUUGCCAGCCCAAACCAGUGAGAUUGUGGAAGCGGGUGAGGGCUGUUGCAGAGCAUUUUGCUGUGAGGUUUGGCCUGAAUAUGUGAGUGGCUUCAUCAGUGGUGGGAUGAAGGAGGUGAGUGACAGCAAGCCAGGAGUGUGAGCCAUCCAACUUGGUGCCUAGCUGUGGAGGCUCCUGGCCUAGCAGCCCCUCAGCUCUUCCUGCUUAAUGAUUAUAUAAUGGCCUGUGUUGAAAAGGACCUCAAAGAUAAUCUGCUUUCAACUCCUUGACCAGGCUGCCUUGAAUGCCUCCAGAACCUCUCUGGGCAGGCUGUUGCCACCCUCCGAGUGAAAAGCUUCUUCCUAGGUUCCUGGUGGUAUGACUCUGGUGCCUGGUGAGUUGUCUCUGUUUGUCCCCAACCUGCAUGUACUACCCCUGGAAUGGAGUUUAUGAUUGGGGCUGGGUGCCAGGGGACAAAAGCCCCUUCUGCUUGGGGGUGACAGUGUGUGGCAUUCCUGGCUCCUCCCUUGUGGUGAGGCUUGAUGGUGCUUUUCUUUCAGCCCUGAAGGUGUGUGGCAGGUCCUCUCCUGGAGGAACGGAAUUGAUGGAGUGUGAGGUUUCCUUGCAAAGAUGGUUUCAAUCAAAGGCAGAAAUGCUCUGCAUUACAGGUAGGAGCUAGUAUGCCUAAGAAUAUCUGUACUAAAAUGGAACGCCCAGACUUAGCUAGCUGAAGUUCUUGUGGUGAAGUGGACACCUGUCGCAACGUGCACGCCGAAGUCACCCGCUGUACCAAUAUGGUUAUUGCAUAGUGCUUAUUUAUUGUAAUUCGACUACAACAUUUAUAGAGCAUCAGGUAGGUGUCGCGCGCUACAACACUGUUAAUUGGACAGUGGAUAUCAUCACAUAGGCAUUCUUGCAGUUAGAUAAUGGUUAGCAGUCCCAUAGAGCACAACCUGGAGGUGUAGAUGUUUGACCUUGCAACACAGCAGCUGUUCCUCGUCUCAGGCCUCCAAGGACACUCCAGGGAUUACUCGAGCGUGUUCUAAUAAAUAUGCCCACUGUCCAUCA